rnacentral:rRNA from 1 species
UGCAGUCGACGAGACCUUCGGGUCUAGUGGCGCACGGGUGCGUAACGCGUGGGAAUCUGCCCUUGGGUUCGGGAUAACAGUUGGAAACGACUGCUAAUACCGGAUGAUGACUUCGGUCCAAAGAUUUAUCGCCCAGGGAUGAGCCCGCGUAGGAUUAGCUAGUUGGUGAGGUAAAGCCUCACCAAGGCGACGAUCCUUAGCUGGUCUGAGAGGAUGAUCAGCCACACUGGGACUGAGACACGGCCCAGACUCCUACGGGAGGCAGCAGUGGGGAAUAUUGGACAAUGGGCGAAAGCCUGAUCCAGCAAUGCCGCGUGAGUGAUGAAGGCCUUAGGGUUGUAAAGCUCUUUUACCCGGGAUGAUAAUGACAGUACCGGGAGAAUAAGCCCCGGCUAACUCCGUGCCAGCAGCCGCGGUAAUACGGAGGGGGCUAGCGUUGUUCGGAAUUACUGGGCGUAAAGCGUACGUAGGCGGCUUUGUAAGUUAGAGGUGAAAGCCCAGAGCUCAACUCUGGAAUUGCCUUUAAGACUGCAUCGCUUGAAUCGUGGAGAGGUUAGUGGAAUUCCGAGUGUAGAGGUGAAAUUC